CUUCUCUAAAUUUCUGGAGGCGGGGAUGAUCCCAAACAUAAUUCUUGUUAAUACCGAAUUUUCAAGCAUCAAGAGGAGGUAGAGUACCUAAUUCUAUGUUGCGGCGAGCCGGCGACUAUUGCCAUAUGAAAUGGUUUCCAGGAGUUGAAAAGAUUUGUGGAGGGUAUGCCUUUGAGAUAGUAAGUGUUAUUAAGCUUGAAGAAGUUGGAUUACGCGAAACUAAUGAAUAAGAAGAAGAUAUGGGUUCUGAUGACCAUGUUGUAAAUGGGUUUCUUCUUAAGAUUGAUCUGCACACACAAAAUCUUGAAAUUUGAUUCAUUCUUUUUCUUGAAGAAGAAGAAGAAUGGAAAACCUAUUAGUUACUGGAGGUGGAGGAAUGUGAAAGAUGCGAGGAGAGGGAGCUUUGUAGUUUGAAGGAAUUGAUGUUGAGACACAAAAUGCUGGGCUUUUAACUGUUUCCUCCUAGCCUUCAAGGCAUGACAGUAAAUCUGAGAAAGUGCUCCCAAACUUCUUUAUUGAGAGAGGAACAAGAGGAAUCAGGCAGUGUGGUCCUGUUUCCAUCUGUCCUUCAGAAUUCAGACUCGUAUUGAACUUGAAAAGUUGGAUGUCUCGAGGAAUCAGAUUAUGGGAACUAUUCCUCCAAGUUUAGGGGAAUUGGUGAGUUUGAAAUGGUUGGAUUUAUCUAUUAAUAGACUGACUGGGAAAAUUCCGGAUAGUUUGUUAAGGAUAGAGAACCUGAAACAUGCAAAUUUUAGAGCAAAUAGAUUGUGUGGACAGAUCCCACAAGGUAGACCAUUUAACAUUUUCCCAGCAGUUGCUUAUGCUCAUAACCAAUGCUUAUGUGGUAAACCAUUGCCACCUUGUAAGGUCAAAUAAAGAAGAUGAUGAAGAGAGUAGUAGUAGUAGGUCAGUAAGAUGCUGACUCAGUUGACAUGUUUGCCUUGCCAUAUCAGAAAUUGUUGUCAGCUAUAUGUAAUGUUGGGGGUUUGUACUUGACUACUUGUAACAAUUUCAUACCAAUUCUUUCAUCAAAUUCGCUCUUUUGUCCUU